rnacentral:lncRNA from 1 species
UGGACUUUUCCAUCGUGCUUUGCUGAGUCCUAAAUGCCGCCACUUCAGCGGUAAGUUUGUGUUGCCCUUCCAACAGUUCUUUCAGAAGUUCUGCUGUCUGUGGGCCAGGGUUCAAUUCUACGUCCCCGCAAAGAAGCUGGCACACACAAUACACAUUGUACGCUGUGAUAAUGCACUGUUGUGGGCAUGGCGCAACCAAUAUACUGCGGCAAUCACUUCUAAGCGUAGUAAAAUAUGAACUAACCUGCGCGAUACAGAAGAAAGGCUUAGACAUCAUGCCGAAGCUCGGUCUGCCAUGCCCACUGAACUCGCAGAGCUGAGCUGUUCUUCUAUAGUCAGGCAUGAUGACGUCACUUGGUCCCGAGGUGGCGCUGAGGAUGCGUCGCAGAUGAUGUCCUCGAAAACGAGGUACUGCGUCGCUGUUCCCGCUGUCCACGAGCAAGAUUCAUCCGGCGGUAUCUUGAAAUGGCCACACAAAUGAUGAAGCGGCGUUGACACUCCGGCUAAGCUCAGCAGAAAAGCCUGGGGGAUACAGAAGAAAGGCUUAGACAUCAUGCCGAAGCUCGGUCUGCCAUGCCCACUGAACUCGCAGAGCUGAGCUGUUCUUUUAUAGUCAGGCAUGAUGACGUCACUUGGUCCCGAGGUGGCGCUGAGGAUGCGUCGCAGAUGAUGUCCUCGAAAACGAGGUACUGCGUCGCUGUUCCUGCUGUCCACGAGCAAGAUUCAUCCGGCGGUAUCUUGAAAUGGCCACACAAAUGAUGAAGCGGCGUUGACACUCCGGCUAAGCUCAGCAGAAAAGCCUGGGGGAUACAGAAGAAAGGCUUAGACAUCAUGCCGAAGCUCGGUCUGCCAUGCCCACUGAACUCGCAGAGCUGAGCUGUUCUUUUAUAGUCAGGCAUGAUGACGUCACUUGGUCCCGAGGUGGCGCUGAGGAUGCGUCGCAGAUGAUGUCCUCGAAAACGAGGUACUGCGUCGCUGUUCCCGCUGUCCACGAGCAAGAUUCAUCCGGCGGUAUCUUGAAAUGGCCACACAAAUGAUGAAGCGGCGUUGACACUCCGGCUAAGCUCAGCAGAAAAGCCUGGGGGAUACAGAAGAAAGGCUUAGACAUCAUGCCGAAGCUCGGUCUGCCAUGCCCACUGAACUCGCAGAGCUGCGCUGUUCUUUUAUAGUCAGGCAUGAUGACGUCACUUGGUCCCGAGGUGGCGCUGAGGAUGCGUCGCAGAUGAUGUCCUCGAAAACGAGGUACUGCGUCGCUGUUCCCGCUGUCCACGAGCAAGAUUCAUCCGGUGGUAUCUUG